UACUCCUACGGGAGGCAGCAGUAGGGAAUCUUCGGCAAUGGACGAAAGUCUGACCGAGCAACGCCGCGUGAGUGAAGAAGGUUUUCGGAUCGUAAAGCUCUGUUGUAAGAGAAGAACGGGUGUGAGAGUGGAAAGUUCACACUGUGACGGUAUCUUACCAGAAAGGGACGGCUAACUACGUGCCAGCAGCCGCGGUAAUACGUAGGUCCCGAGCGUUGUCCGGAUUUAUUGGGCGUAAAGCGAGCGCAGGCGGUUAGAUAAGUCUGAAGUUAAAGGCUGUGGCUUAACCAUAGUACGCUUUGGAAACUGUUUAACUUGAGUGCAGAAGGGGAGAGUGGAAUUCCAUGUGUAGCGGUGAAAUGCGUAGAUAUAUGGAGGAACACCGGUGGCGAAAGCGGCUCUCUGGUCUGUAACUGACGCUGAGGCUCGAAAGCGUGGGGAGCGAACAGGAUUAGAUACCCUGGUAGUCCACGCCGUAAACGAUGAGUGCUAGGUGUUAGGCCCUUUCCGGGGCUUAGUGCCGCAGCUAACGCAUUAAGCACUCCGCCUGGGGAGUACGACCGCAAGGUUGAAACUCAAAGGAAUUGACGGA
rnacentral:rRNA from 1 species